rnacentral:rRNA from 1 species
UUCGCCUACGGGACGCAGCAGUGAGGAAUAUUGGUCAAUGGGCGGGAGCCUGAACCAGCCAAGUCGCGUGAAGGAAGAAGGUACUUAGUAUUGUAAACUUCUUUUGUCGGGGAACAAAGGCGGAGACGCGUCUCCGGAUGAGUGUACCCGAAGAAAAAGCAUCGGCUAACUCCGUGCCAGCAGCCGCGGUACUACGGAGGAUGCGAGCGUUAUCCGGAUUUAUUGGGUUUAAAGGGUGCGCAGGCGGGAGAUCAAGUCAGCGGUAAAAUGUCGGGGCUCAACCCCGGCCGGGCGGUGAAACUGGG